AAUAAAGGUGUUCUCUACUAGCCUACCUGGUUAAAUAAAGGUGUUCUCUACUAGCCUACCUGGUUAAAUAAAGGUGUUCUCUACUAGCCUACCUGGUUAAAUAAAGGUGUUCUCUACUAGCCUACCUGGUUAAAUAAAGGUGUUCUCUACUAGCCUACCUGGUUAAAUAAAGGUGUUCUCUACUAGCCUACCUGGUUAAAUAAAGGUGUUCUCUACUAGCCUACCUGGUUAAAUAAAGGUGUUCUCUACUAGCCUACCUGGUUAAAUAAAGGUGUUCUCAACUAGCCUACCUGGUUAAAUAAAGGUGUUCUCUACUAGCCUACCUGGUUAAAUAAAGGUGUUCUCAACUAGCCUACCUGGUUAAAUAA